GUAGGGGUGCGAGCGUUAAUCGGAAUUACUGGGCGUAAAGCGUGCGCAGGCGGUUUGUAAGGCAGGCGUGAAAUCCCCCGGGGCUUAACCUGGGGAAUUGCGCUUGUGACUGCAAGGCUAGAGUGCGUCAGAGGGGGGUAGAAUUCCACGUGUAGCAGUGAAAUGCGUAGAGAUGUGGAGGAAUACCGAUGGCGAAGGCAGCCCCCUGGGACGUGACUGACGCUCAUGCACGAAAGCGUGGGGAGCAAACAGGAUUAGAUACCCUGGUAGUCCACGCCCUAAACGAUGUCAACUAGUUGUUGGGGAUUCAUUUUCUCAGUAACGUAGCUAACGCGUGAAGUUGACCGCCUGGGGAGUACGGUCGCAAAGAUUA
rnacentral:rRNA from 1 species